GAUUUGUGCCGGAGCUCACAACCUCCGCUGUGCUUUGUCUAGGGCUGGGGUUUUAGUGGCUUCUUAAAAUCUGUUCCUGGGCUGAUGGAGCACCAGGCUGUGUCUCAGGGGGUGCAGGGUGGCUCUGUCCUCUGCUUGUGUCCUGGCUCGCUCUUUUUCAAGCUUCCCACACAAAAAAAAAGGGACAGUGAGGAUGGGUGCAGGUGUCCCAGGUUCCCAGCUUGGUGGGGGGAAAUGUCCUGCAGAUGCUUUGUCCCAUCACAUUUAAUCCUGUGCUGCGGCUCAGGCACCUCUGGGUCUGCGGCUGGACAGGAGAGGGCAGCGGAGCCGCACUGCCACCAGGGUGGUGGCAGCGCAUGUGUCACCCCUGCACAUGGUGACAUCCCUGUUGCUGGGGAGGGAGAGCAGCUGAGGCCAGGCUAAUCUCCUUAGCGGCCUGAGCACCAUCACGAGAGUGAAAGGGAGAUUAGGGGACAGGGUGGCAUUAGCAACCGGGGACGCUCAUUGGAGAGGAAUAAGGGAGCGACUGAGCCCCGUGGAGGGGGAGAAGACCCUGGGGGAGAUCAGUGCAGGAGCUGGAGACGCCUCUGUCGGCAACAAAUAACCCAACAGCUGGGAUCUUGGAGAAGUGAAAGGCUUUAGAGAAUAUGCCCCAAAAUCCUGGCGGAGCCGUCCCCACACUGUCCCCCCAGGAGGAGGGUGUUGCCAGGCAGGCUGGGUCCUCAUCCCUUCCCUCCCAUCUAUAGGCGGGGAGUGGGUGCCUUACCACCCCCCCAUCAUGGGGCAUGAAAACAUUCCCUGGAAGCAUAAACAGAGGGAAGGGGAAAACACUGGAUAUUCCCUUUGUCUGAGAGAGGUGGAGGCAAAAUACGCUCUUUUCCGUAGCAGAGUGUGGCUGUUGCUUACAAAGCUUUGGUGAAGGAGCCCAGACGCUGGGCUCCAGUCCCCGUUCCUGCCACGUGAGUGUCACGGGGUCCUGGGUUUUCUGGUCCCGGGUGGCUGGUGGGACCAGAGUGAUGGAUGUUUUACAGGAAGCCUUGCAGUCCUGCACCCUGUCCCACCGGAGCAGGGAGUGUGGCCAGGUUGGUGCUGCUCACCGGGUUGUGUUGCUUCUGCAUUUUACCCACAGGGAGCUCCAGGGCUGGGAAGAGAAGGAAAAAAUGGUACCUCCUGUUAGUAUUUGGUGCUUGUUCCUUCCUCUCAGCUGUCAAGGAAACCCUGGCACGGUUCACAUACCCAGCUGGCAUUGCUGCCGUUGCCGACGUGUUAUGUCCUUAUAAACCGUAUCCAAAAUAGCUUUUCCACCCCUCUGUUCAUGCUGGCUCACACAGCACCUUUCCCUGUGCACUGCCAUCGGCUGCUCUCCGGCCAAUGAUUUGGAGCAGGACAACAGCUUUUUCUUAGAAUCGUAGAAUCACAGAAUAGUUUGGGUUGAAGGGCCCUUCCCAGCUCCCCCAGUUCCCCCCUGCCAUGAGCAGGGACAUCUUCACCAGCUCAGGUUGCUCAGAGCCCCGUCCAGCCUGGCCUGGGAUGUCUCCAGGGAUGGUUCAUCCACCACCUCUCUGGCCAACCUGGGCCAGGCUCUCACCACCCUCAGGGCCAACAAUUUCUUCUUCAUGUCCAGCCUGUAUCUCCCCUCCUUUAGUUUAAACCAUCACCCCUAUGGCAACAGGCCCUGCUAAAAAGUCUGUCCCCAUCUUUUUUACAGGCCCCUUUUAAGUACAGAAAGGCCACAAUAAGGUCUCCCUGGAGCCUUCUCUUCUCCAGGCUGAACACCCCAGCUCUCAGUUUUCUUCCAGGCUCAGGAAGCAGAAUUGCAUCUUUUACGUGCACAAGUGUGGUUAAGGCAGGAUUGUUACCACUUCUGCCAGAAGGACUCACAGAGAUGAAAUGAGUCAAGGUGGUAGUGAGAUAUAUGGAGUUAGCCCCAGGUGCCAGAAGCUAUAGGAAAAGCCAGAGAGAAGAGGCUUGUGCCACGUUAGUGAAAGAAGGAAGAGAGAUCAAGAGGGUUUGGAAAAUGAGACGGCUUGUAAGCCGGUUCAGAAAUGACAGAGUUUGAGAAGAAUGGUGUGAGGGAGAUGUUAGAGCAGCCUGCGUGCUGCUGAAAAGGUUCCCUGGAUGGGAGAUUGUGGGUAGAGGGGAUGUGAUGUGCUCAGGGUGGAAAAGAAAGCGGAAAAAAACCCGACCUGCAGUGGGAGUGAGGACACAUGGUGCUGGAUCUGUGCCGUAGAAGUGGCCACAAGCCAGUGACCCGAGCAGAAGAGCGGGGGAGGAAGGUCGCUCGGCCAAGCAUUUGGAAAAAGUGCAUCAGAGUAGAGACGCAGAAGAGAUGGAGCUACAACUUUCAUGUCUCAAAUAUACAAGGAGGAAGGUCAGGAAAACAUGGAAAGAAAUCUCCAGCUUGCUUCCAGCAGCCUGCAGUGGGGUGUUUGCUCAUUUUUUACCCUCAGAAAGGGGCAGGAAUUUGCAGUAACAGGGUCAUCAACAGCCUUGCUGCCCCAUCAAACCCCGAUCCCUCGGUACCUGUGUGGCAGCUGCAUCAUGAUGCUGAUGGAUGGUGACAGGACCGUGGGAGUGAGCGGCAGCAGCACAAAAUGUGCAGGUGCUCGGCUGCAUCGUACAAACCCAGCGGUGCAUGAACCGGAGAGAACAACAGUGAGCGAGCGGCUGCAGAGGGGCCCUUGGGAAGAGGCAGGUAACUGGCCAGAGAAAAAAGUGACUGCUGUGAACAAAGUCCCUGCAAGCUGGUGACAUGGGACUUUCGCUGCCCACGGCAUCUACAGGCUCCAGCCCCUCUGGGAGCUGGCAGUGAGUCUGGAACAAUCGCCAGGGGAAGGACAAUGGGACCUCCAGCACUAUGUGGCCUGUUCCUGCACCAUCAAGGGCUUCCAGCUGGGGCUUCCCCCAUCCCAGGCCAUGGAUGUACUGGAGAAGGUGACAAGGGGAUGGCAAGAGAGGGGGCAGAGGUGCAUAUCCCAUGCACACCUGGUUUGGGGGGUGGGAUAAUGCUGCUCACCCCCAGCAGUCAGCACAGGGACACGGGCUGUAACCCGCGGUCCCACAGAAUCCCUCUGCCCCCCCACAGCUGAAGGUAAAGGUGCCCCCAACAUCUGCUCCCACCCUGCAUCCAGGAUUGUCCCCUCCACUUCAAGUUCAAGUUGCCCUUCCCAAGUGCGAUCCCUCAAAUUCCUCAAUGGCCACUCAACCCAAGCAGCUGCGGGGGGCUCGGUCUUGUCACCCUCUUUGUGUCCCUUUUGUGACUCGGGCUCAGUUUCUGUUGAUCUCCCUUUUCUCAUCACCCGGGCUCAGGAAACCCUCCAUCAGCCAGCCUUGCUGCAAUGAACAUGUUUGCAAUCCCGCGUGUCCCUGGUAAUUAACACAGCUGACCGAGUUCCCUUCAUCAGCACUAAUUGGCCAAGUUUCUGUCCCUGUGCAUCUCCCUUCCUGGUUUUUGUGGUGCUCUUGGGUGAUUUUAGCGCUACUGAGAGGAGAAGUAAAAUGAAACUAACUGUGCAUCCUCACACAGCACACAUCCUGACACUGACACCAGCAGCUGGCGACACAGGGACACAGCGGGGUGGCUGUGGGCUCCUGAAGCCAGACACACACCCACAGCUCUGCAAAGCCUCUUUGCUCCCCACCAGCGGUGGCCGUCACCCCACCACAGACCCACUGGUCUGACCAGCCCCUCUGCCUCCACCACUGGUGGCACCAGCAGUGCCCAGCACCCUGGGACGAUGUCACCCUGGCUGGGACGGGUGCUGGGGACAGCCUGAGGGUGGCACUUGGAUGUGCUCAGCCCUGGUCCCCAUUGGCAGUGAGCUGAUCCCAAUCAUCGUCCCACCGGAGCUGUCCCCCCAGGUGCUCCAAUAUGCAAGGGAUGGUGGCACCAGGGCUGGGGGCAGAGGGUCCCUACCAUGUCACCCCCCUGUGCCUUCCCAUGUGGUCUGGGUCCACCUGCCCCCAAGGAGGGUGCUCUGGUUGGGACUUCUGUCCCCGUGUGUGUGCAUGUGGGUGCACAGAUGAGCAGGGCUGACCCCAUGUGCAAAGGGAGGGGUGGCUCUGUGGAGUGCAUGGGAAUCUGGGGUGGAGGGGUGUCACUAUGAGGGGUGCAUGGAGAUUUCCAGGGGUCUCUGUGCGGUGCAGGAGGGUCUGGGGAGUGUCUGCUGGUCUGCAAGGGGGCUUUGGGGGUGGUCUCUGUGUGCAAGGGCAAUCACGGGGGGUGCAGGGGGGCCUGACAGAGGCACUGGGGGGGUGGGAUGGAACUGGGGGAGUGCCCUGUGCUCCUGGAGCCUCCUGUGUGCUGCUAAUGGGGGGGACCAGCCACAACCCCCUCCCCCUGAGCUGUCUGUCUGUCUCCCAGGGCUGUCCUGCCCCCACUCUCUCCACUCUCCCCCCCACAUCUGUGCAACAGCAGCUUAUUUUUUUCUCCAUGGUUGCAACACCUCAAGUCAUGUCCUGUGUCAGACCCCCCCUCACAGGAAAGAAUGGGGGGAGCUGGUCCUGGCCAGGGGGGACCCGGGUACAGGCCCUGACCCCCCUCCCAUUCACCCUCCAAAUGCAAAAUGGGGAGUGUGGGCACCGCGAAAAGCGAAUUGCCCUGGGGUUGGAUAAGGGAGAGUGGAUCCCUGCAGUGACGGGGAAGGGUGACCGGAUCCCUCUGGGGUUGGACAAGGGAGAGUGGAUCCCUGCAGUGACGGGGAAGGGUGACCGGAUCCCUCUGGGGUUGGAUAAGGGAGAGUGGAUCCCUGCAGUGAUGGGGAAGGGUGACCGGAUCCCUGGAUCCCUCUGGGGCUGGGGAAGUGGCUGUAGCUUCAUACACCACAAUCUCCUCCCUCCUCCCUUCCUUGCCCUUCCCCCAAAACACCAGGCAGGAACACACCAGUGUCCCCCACAGCUGUGUCAACCUCCACCCAAAGGCCUGGGGGACCCAAGGCCGGGAGCACCCCAAGAGCAUCCCCGCUAUGAGGGCCAGGCUGGGACUGAACCAUCCCCCCUGCCAGCAGCCUCUGCACAGGCCCCAUCUGUGCCCCCUCUUCCCACUGGAAUAAAUACCAUUUAUUCAGAAGAAACCAUUUUAUUAUUUUUUUUUUCCCAAAGAAAAAAAGCAAUAUAAAUAUUAGAGUAUAAAACUUGCGUGUAACACAUCGACGUUGGUCUAUAUGGGUAUAAGAAGGAUAUAAGCAUAUAUAUAAUAUAUAAGUAUAAUUCAAUAUUAGACACAUUGAAAGGGCAAACGUGUUUCAUUUCACGUACACUCGGAGCACAGACCACAUGGAAAGAAGAUACAGAGAAAAUUGAAAAUACUGGUGUCCACAAGUUAGUUACCAAGAUUAAAAAUAACACGCCA